CGGCAGGUCAGUAUGCCCCGAAACCCCCGGGCUACACGCGAGCUGCAAUGGCGGGGACAGCGGGUUCCGACCCCGAAAGGGGAAGGUAAUCCCGUAAACCCCGCCUCAGUGGGGAUCGAGGGCUGCAACUCGCCCUCGUGAACGUGGAAUCCCUAGUAACCGCGUGUCAUCAACGCGCGGUGAAUACGUCCCUGCUCCUUGCACACACCGCCCGUCGCUCCACCCGAGUCAGGGUCAGGUGAGGCCUAGCUCCGUGAGGGGUUAGGUCGAACUUGGCCCUGACGAGGGGGGAGAAGUCGUAACAAGGUGGCCGUAGGGGAACCUGCGGCCGGAUCACCUCCUU
rnacentral:rRNA from 1 species